rnacentral:other from 1 species
CAUUGGCAGAGACAACGCAGACGGACAGAGUUGAGGCAUCUCAAGUGUGAGAGAACUGUAACCUCACUCCUCUCAGCUGCGACCUGUUGCUGGAUUGCCUGCGACUUCUGGCUGUCUGCUGAGGAAAGCAAGUGGCCAACAGCUAGGGCAAGAUGAAGCUCUAUCUGGUGGCCACGGUUCUGCUG